CCUUCGGGUUGUAAACCUCUUUCACCAGGGACGAAGCUAACGUGACGGUACCUGGAGAAGAAGCACCGGCUAACUACGUGCCAGCAGCCGCGGUAAUACGUAGGGUGCGAGCGUUGUCCGGAAUUAUUGGGCGUAAAGAGCUUGUAGGCGGUCUGUCGCGUCUGCUGUGAAAGACCGGGGCUUAACUCCGGUUCUGCAGUGGGUACGGGCAGUCUAGAGUGUGGUAGGGGAGACUGGAAUUCCUGGUGUAGCGGUGAAAUGCGCAGAUAUCAGGAGGAACACCGA
rnacentral:rRNA from 1 species